UACUCCUACGGGAGGCAGCAGGCUAGAAAUUUGGGCAAUGGGGGAAACCCUGACCCUGUGACGCCGCGUGCAGGAAGGAGCCCUUCGGGGUGUAAACUGCUGUCGUGUAGGGAGAAGGGUACUAAGGUGAACAAUCUUAGUACUUGACGGUACUACAGGAGGAAGCCCAGGCUAACCUCGUGCCAGCAGCCGCGGUAAUA
rnacentral:rRNA from 1 species